rnacentral:rRNA from 1 species
AAUGAAUAAAAUUUUUAAUGGCCGCAGUAAUUUGACUGUGCAAAGGUAGCAUAAUCAUUAGUCUUUUAAUUGAAGGCUUGUAUGAAUGGUUGGACGAAGUAUAAUCUGUUUCAUAUAAAUUUAUAAUAGAAUUUUAUAUUUUAGUGAAAAAGCUAAAAUUUUUUUAAAAGACGAGAAGACCCUAUAAAUCUUUAUAAUUUUUAUUAUUUUAGUUUUUUUGAUUAAUUUUGUUAUUAUAAUUAAAAUUAUUUUAUUGGGGUGAUAUUAAAAUUUAAAUAACUUUUAAUUUUUUUUUUCAUUAAUUUAUGUUUUAUUGAUCCAUUAAUAAUGAUUAUUAGAAUAAGUUACUUUAGGGAUAACAGCGUAAUUUUUUUGGAGAGUUCUUAUUGAUAAAAAAGUUUGCGACCUCGAUGUUGGAUUAAGAAAUAAUUUUAGGUGUAGAUGCUUAAA